rnacentral:rRNA from 1 species
AUUCCAGCUCCAAUAGCGUAUAUUAAAGUUGUUGCAGUUAAAAAGCUCGUAGUUGGAUUUCUGGUGGGAGCGAUCGGUCUGGCGCUUAGCGCGAGUACUUGCAUCGUCUCCGGCCAUCCUUGGGGAGAGUUUGUCUGGCAUUAAGUUGUCGGGCAGAGGAUCCUCAUCGUUUACUGUGAAAAAAUUAGAGUGUUCAAAGCAGGCUUAUGCCGUUGAAUAUAUUAGCAUGGAAUAAUAAGAUAGGACUUUGGUACUAUUUUGUUGGUUUGCGCACCAAAGUAAUGAUUAAUAGGGACAGUCGGGGGCAUUUGUAUUCAAACGACAGAGGUGAAAUUCUUGGACCGUUUGAAGACAAACUACUGCGAAAGCAUUUGCCGAGAAUGUUUUCAUUA